rnacentral:RNase_P_RNA from 2 species
CCGGUGGGUCGCUCUGUCGCUCUUCAGUAAUGAGGGGAGGAAAGUCCGGACAGGAAAGAGCAAGACUCUGUGGAAAGCACAGCUGGGGGUAACUUCAGGUAAAUCGUAACAGAAAAGAACCGCCCUCUUUGAGGGUAAGGGUGAAAAUGCGGGGUAAGAGCCCACAGCCUGUAGUGGCAACACUACAGGAGUACGACCAGUCUCCUGCAAGGCCAAGUAUACCGGCAGUUAAGGGCUGCUCGUCCGUUGUCGGGGGGUAGGCUGCAUCAGAUAAAUGGCAGAGACCUUUUUUAGGUACAGAAUCCGGCUUACAGACCCACCUUUUUU